rnacentral:rRNA from 1 species
CCUACGGUGGGCAGCAGUAGGGAAUCUUCCACAAUGGGCGAAAGCCUGAUGGAGCAACGUCGCGUGGGUGAAGAAUGUCUUCGGAUCGUACAACCCUGUUGUUAGAGAAGUAAGUGCGUGAGAGUAACUGUUCACGUUUCGACGGUAUCUAACCAGAUAGCCACGGCUAACUACGUGCCAGCAGCCGCGGUAAUACGAAGGUGGCAAGCGUUAUCCGGAUUUAUUGGGCGUAAAGGGAACGCAGGCGGUCUGUUAAGUCUGAUGUGAAAGCCUUCGGCUUAACCGGAGUAGUGCAUUGGAUACUGGGAGACUUGAGUGCAGAAGAGGAGAGUGGAACGCCAUGUGUAGCGGUGAAAUGCGUAGAGAUAUGGAAGAACACCAGUGGCGAAAGCGGCUCUCUGGUCUGUAACUGACGCUGAGGUUCGAAAGCGUGGGUAGCAAACAGGAUUAGAUACCCGGGUAGUC